AGAUGGGUAAGGGCUCUCCUUAUUGGGAACAGUAGGUGAAUGAUCAUUUCCUACGGCAGAGGUUGGAAGGACUCCUUUUGGGACUGAGGUUGAAAGUCUCCUUUUGGGACAGAAGUUGAAGGUCUCCUUUUGGGACAGAGGUUGAAGGUCUUUUGGGGUAGAGAUUGAAGGUCUCCUUUUGGGACAGAGGUUGAAGGUUCUCCUUCAGGAGCUGAGGUUGAAGGUCUUCUUUUGGGGUAGACAGGGGUUGAAUGUCUCCUUUUGGGACAGAGAUCGAAGGCUCUUUCAACUUAGAGGCUGAAGGACUCCUUUUGGGACAGAAGUAGAAGGUCUCCUUUUAGGAUAGAGCUUGAAGAGACGUCUUACGUUUUGAAUCCCAGGCAGCCAGCUUCUUGGGGCCAAAAAUAAUUACCAUCGAAUCUCUCAGUAAAGGUUAAAAUGGAAGGAAUUUUUGCUCUGCUGCAACACGUGGUCCCAUUCCCGUGGUGAUGCCAAUGGUCACACACAUAACGGUCAUGCCACAGCCCAACGCAUUUCGUUGAGUGACUUCAAGAGGCAAUUUGGGGUUCGUUUUUUUUUUUAUUAUUAUUAUUAUUUUGGCUGAUUUUGUCCAUUUUGCACCAAUUCAGGUGAACGGCCUUUUCACCCGCCUCCCGGCUCCGGUGUCCGAAGCCAUUUCCGGGGGCUGAAUUGGCGAUGGAGGGGAACGUCACCAUCUCCCACACCUCAGGCUUGGAGGUGCUCUUCAGUCCCAGCGGGGAGGUGACGUUGACCGUGAGGGCCACUCUGGCCAACCGCCUCUGUGCCCCCUGUGGCAACUUCAAUGGGGACGCCCAGGAUGACCUGAGGUUGCCCAAUGGCGCCGUAGUCGCUGAGAGAUCGACGGAGGGUUCCGUCUUCCGCAUGCUCUAUCUGGAAAGCCAAGGAUUAUUGCAGCGAAGCGAUUGACACACAAAAGCAAAGGAGGUUAUUCUGCCGCGUCCCCAACCCCGUAAGGAUGGAAGUGGAAGCCCCAGUUUACCCCGCUCCGUAACGACGCCACGAUGGGGACGGAUGCAAGAGGACCCCAUGCACUUCUCCUAAAUAACUAUGCAGAACAAUCAGCAUUCACUAUUUUUUUUGCCUAUGGAGGUAACCAGGCUGAGUUUCCUUGUGCUCCAACGGGGCCCCGUUAUGGCGGGAGGUCACGUGACGGCCAAAACUUCAGAAUUUCAGAAUUUCGGUGGUCACGUGACCUCUGAAAUGUUAAAGUUUGGCAUUUAAGCGGAUAAACGCUUCGAUCCGACCUCAAAUCGAUGAGAAAAAUGGGUUUUUUGGGGGGGGUGAUUCGAUCCCCACGGGACCCACCGAUGCUGCAGGGAAGAAAUUGAGGCCAUCCGGCCCAAAUCCCACCUCUUUCCCCCCCCCCCAAAAAAAACCCCCUCUCUUCCCAUUGGAUGCCUUCAUUAUGGCGCUGCCUCUGCUGCUGGGUAAAGCAAUAAAACUCCUUUUUAUUUUUUAUAUUUUAUUUCUUUUUGUGGGUUUCUUUUCUUUUUUUUUGGGGGGGGGGGGUCUCUUUCACCUUUUAUUUCGUUUUGGUUGCAUCUUUUCCAGCUCUUUUUAAUAUAUGUUUACGUAUAUAUUUAUUUUUAUGUCUUUUUUCCACGUAUCGCCUUCACUUCUUUGCAUGUACUCUUAUAUCUCCAAGAUACGUCCAUGUAUGUCUUUAAUUUUUUAAUUACCUUUUAAUUUCUUCAUUUUUUGAUUAUUUUUAUUAUUUUUUUUUACAUGGAUGUCUCUUUCUGUUUCCCGAUUGGAUGCCCCAAAAUGUUUCCCAUUCCCGUUUAUGCCCCAAAUCGGUGAUUUUUUGUGGGCUGUUGAACCCCAGACAUUGGCUCUUGCCAUUCGUUGUCGCUCUCUUUGGGCAUUUCUAUUUAAUGCCAUUUCCAAAAAUCGCUAUUUUGGGAUAAAACCCCAAUUGGGAAUUCAUCGUUCCCCAUAAAAGCCACUCAAAGUCCCCCCAAACCCCCAAAUAACCCCCAAAAACAAUGGGAUGAGGUCAAGCUCCAAAAGAUUUGCUCUGUCGUCUCCAUUCAAGGGAUGAAAAUGUGGGAAAUGGUGGUUUUUUAACCCAAAAAGAAGCACUGCAAGGCAAAGCAAAGGGAACUGCAAUGCAAGGCGAGGGGAAAUGGAAUGCAAAGCAAAAUGCACUGCAAUACAAAUCAAAGGAUCGGUGCAAAGGAAAGCAAAAGGGGCACUGCAGUGCAAAGCGAAGAGAAGCAAAGGGGCGUUGCAGUGCAAAAUGAAGUGACGCUGCAGUGCAAAGCAAAGGGGCACUGCAGUGCAAAGCAAAGCAAAGGGCACUGCAAUGCAAAGCAAAGGGUCUAUGCAAAGUGACGCUGCGUUACAAAGCAAAGUGACGAUGCGGUACGAAGCAAAAGGGCCUUGCAAAGCAAAGCAAAGGGGCAUGCAAAGCACAGGGGAAAUGCGAAGUGAAGUGAAGUGAUAUUGCAGUGCAAAGCAAAGGAGCACUGCAAUGCAAAGCAAAGGGGCAAUGCAAUGCAAAGCAAAGGGGAAAUGCAGUGCAAAGCAAAGGGUCAAAGAAAAGCACAGGGGUGCUGCAAUGCCAAGCAAAGUGACAAUGCAAUGUAAAGCAAAGGGG
rnacentral:lncRNA from 7 species